GAAGAAAGCUUGAAGAUAGAUUCUGGAAGGACAAGAUAUAAACAAGUACUAAAGAAGGAAUAUUUUCUGUUAAGGGGUGGGGUGGGAGCGAAGAAGA